rnacentral:rRNA from 1 species
AUUGAACGCUGGCGGCAGGCCUAACACAUGCAAGUCGAGCGGUAGAGAGAAGCUUGCUUCUCUUGAGAGCGGCGGACGGGUGAGUAAUGCCUAGGAAUCUGCCUGGUAGUGGGGGAUAACGUUCGGAAACGGACGCUAGUACCGCAUACGUCCUACGGGAGAAAGCAGGGGACCUUCGGGCCUUGCGCUAUCAGAUGAGCCUAGGUCGGAUUAGCUAGUUGGUGGGGUAAUGGCUCACCAAGGCGACGAUCCGUAACUGGUCUGAGAGGAUGAUCAGUCACACUGGAACUGAGACACGGUCCAGACUCCUACGGGAGGCAGCAGUGGGGAAUAUUGGACAAUGGGCGAAAGCCUGAUCCAGCCAUGCCGCGUGUGUGAAGAAGGUCUUCGGAUUGUAAAGCACUUUAAGUUGGGAGGAAGGGCAGUAAAUUAAUACUUUGCUGUUUUGACGUUACCGACAGAAUAAGCACCGGCUAACUCUGU